GAUGAAGAACGUAGCGAAAUGCGAUACUUGGUGUGAAUUGCAGAAUCCCGUGAACCAUCAAGUCUUUGAACGCAAGUUGCGCCCGAAGCCAUCAGGUUGAGGGCACGUCUGCCUGGGCGUCACAUAUCGUUGCCCGAUGCCUAUUGCAGUGCAAUAGGAAUUUCUAGGGCGAAUGAUGGCUUCCCGUGAGCGUUGUUGCCUCGCGGUUGGUUGAAAAUCGAGUCCUUGGUAGGGUGUGCCAUGGUAGAUGGUGGUCGAGUUAGAACGAUACCGAUCAUGUGCAUGCUCCCCAAAAUAUGGCCUCUAUGGCCCACACGCGUCUUUUGACGCUCAUGACGAGACCUCAGGUCAGGCGGGGCUACCCGCUGAAUUUAAGCAUAUCAAUAAGCGGAGGA
rnacentral:misc_RNA from 1 species